rnacentral:rRNA from 1 species
UUAAAUUGAAGAGUUUGAUCAUGGCUCAGAUUGAACGCUGGCGGCAGGCCUAACACAUGCAAGUCGAACGGUAACAGGAAACAGCUUGCUGUUUCGCUGACGAGUGGCGGACGGGUGAGUAAUGUCUGGGAAACUGCCUGAUGGAGGGGGAUAACUACUGGAAACGGUAGCUAAUACCGCAUAACGUCGCAAGACCAAAGAGGGGGACCUUAGGGCCUCUUGCCAUCGGAUGUGCCCAGAUGGGAUUAGCUAGUAGGUGGGGUAAAGGCUCACCUAGGCGACGAUCCCUAGCUGGUCUGAGAGGAUGACCAGCCACACUGGAACUGAGACACGGUCCAGACUCCUACGGGAGGCAGCAGUGGGGAAUAUUGCACAAUGGGCGCAAGCCU